rnacentral:rRNA from 1 species
AUUGAACGCUGGCGGCAUGCCUUACACAUGCAAGUCGAACGGUAACAGGUUAAGCUGACGAGUGGCGAACGGGUGAGUAAUAUAUCGGAACGUGCCCAGUCGUGGGGGAUAACGUAGCGAAAGCUACGCUAAUACCGCAUACGAUCUACGGAUGAAAGCGGGGGAUCGAAAGACCUCGCGCGAUCGGAGCGGCCGAUAGCAGUUUAGGUUGUUGGCGAGUUAAAGGCUCACCAAGCCUGCGAUCUGUAGCUGGUCUGAGAGGACGACCAGCCACACUGGAACUGAGACAAGGUCCAGACUCCUACGGGAGGCAGCAGUAGGGAAUUUUGGACAAUGGACGCAAGUAUGAUCCAGCAAUGCCGCGUGGAGGACGAAGGCAUUCGGGUUGUAAACUGCUUUUGUACGGAACGAAAAGGCGAGCUCUACUACAGUUUGCUAAUGACGGUACCGUAAGAAUAAGCACCGGCUAACUACGUGCCAGCCGCCGCGGUAA